CCCUUAGAUGUUCUGGGCCGCACGCGCGCUACACUGAUGCAUUCAACGAGUCUAAAACCUGCUCUGAUAGGGGUGGGUAAUCUUUUGAAUGUGCAUCGUGAUUGGGAUAGAUGAUUGCAAUUUUUCAUCUUCAACGAGGAAUGCCUAGUAAACGCAAGUCAUCAGCUUGCAUUGAUUACGUCCCUGCUCUUUGUACACACCGCCCGUCGCUCCUACCGAUUGAAUGAUCCGAUGAAUAUCAUGGAUUGAGGAUGCAAGUAGGUUAGCCUAUCUUCAUCUUCGAGAAGUGAAGUAAAUCUUAUCAUUUAGAGGAAGGAGAAGUCGUAACA
rnacentral:rRNA from 1 species